rnacentral:rRNA from 1 species
UACACAUGCAAGUCGAACGGCAGCACGGGAGCAAUCCUGGUGGCGAGUGGCGAACGGGUGAGUAAUAUAUCGGAACGUGCCCAGUCGUGGGGGAUAACGCAGCGAAAGCUGUGCUAAUACCGCAUACGAUCUCUGGAUGAAAGCGGGGGACCGCAAGGCCUCGCGCGAUUGGAGCGGCCGAUAUCAGAUUAGCUAGUUGGUGGGGUAAAAGCCCACCAAGGCGACGAUCUGUAGCUGGUCUGAGAGGACGACCAGCCACACUGGAACUGAGACACGGUCCAGACUCCUACGGGAGGCAGCAGUGGGGAAUUUUGGACAAUGGGCGCAAGCCUGAUCCAGCAAUGCCGCGUGCAGGAUGAAGGCCUUCGGGUUGUAAACUGCUUUUGUACGGAACGAAACGGCUCCUUUUAAUAAAGGGGGCUAAUGACGGUACCGUAAGAAUAAGCACCGGCUAACUACGUGCCAGCAGCCGCGGUAAUACGUAGGGUGCGAGCGUUAAUCGGAAUUACUGGGCGUAAAGCGUGCGCAGGCGGUUAUAUAAGACAGAUGUGAAAUCCCCGGGCUCAACCUGGGACCUGCAUUUGUGACUGUAUAGCUAGAGUACGGUAGAGGGGGAUGGAAUUCCGCGUGUAGCAGUGAAAUGCGUANAUAUGCGGAGGAACACCGAUGGCGAAGGCAAUCCCCUGGANCUGUACUGACGCUCAUGCCCCNAAAGCGUGGGGAGCAAACAGGAUUANAUACCCUGGGAGNCCACGCCCU